rnacentral:piRNA from 1 species
ACCUGGGAAGCCUCUGUGAU